UAGAACUGUGUGAAGAAGAAGAGAACCCUUAACAUCACAAAUCUACAAAAUUGAAAGGAAAAUUGAAGUUUAAAUCCGUGCAUGAACUAAGAUUCAUGAUCAUCUAAGUGCCCUUAACGCCAAGGGUGAAGAAAGAAGAAGGUACAAGUCAAUCGAAGGCACUUGGAACGCAAAAUCAAGGUAAAUCAAAAUCUUGAAAAAGGCGAGCUUGGAAUGAACACACACACAUCUCGGUCGUAUGCGCUUCCGGACAAGUUGUCACAAACGGGAUGUGUCUCACGGUGUUACAAGGCCAGUAUAUGAGAGGUGAUCACGAAUAGCCAACAUUCAUGGUCAAAGUGGUCGUGUCACGAGAUUUAUGGUUUUGGCAUGCACAUUGUGGACCGUCCGGUUCACUAAAUGACAUCAAUGUUCUCUGGCAGUCUCCAAUAUUCGUCACUAAACGGAAUGGAACCGCACCUAAGUGUCCAUUUCAAUUGAAUGGACAUACACACAAACGACGAUGCUAUUUAACCAAAGGGAUCUACCUUACAUAGUCAAGGUUUGUUUAAACAUUUCCGUAUCUAGUUGAUCCGAAUGAAAAAAUGUUCAAGAAAUUGCGCGAAGGGCAAGAAAAGAUGUGGAGCGGUCAUUUGGUGUCCUAAAAGGAAAAUGGGGCAUACUUAGGAGAUCAAUGUGUGCUACGGUGGUGAACAAGAUUAUUAGCGAGACGUAUACGUGCAUGAUACUUCACAAUAUGGUCUUAAAAGACGAGGGGCAUGCGUUCUCACCGGUCCACAUUAGGGAUCCAAUUGUCGAAUCCGUUUUUGAUGACGUAGCGCUUACAGAGUUAAUGGACCCCGAUACGCAUUAUCGACUUAAAAAUGAUCUUUUCAUCCAUAUUGCAGAUCCAUAUUGUAGCCCAAGAUCUACCAUACCUGGAGGAGGAAGACGAUGUUUAGGAUUUAAAAAUAUUUUUUGUUCGUUUGUUUGAAUUAUAUAUUUUUAUUUUCAGUUAAUGAAAUUAUUUUCUUUUUAA